CUGAGGUCAAUAUAUUCAAGAGCACAGACAUUCAAAAGCAUGUUCCGGUACAUAGAACCUACAAAGGUUGCAUUAGGAAGUGAUGAAAGUUUGACACAGAGGUUUGCUUAUUAUAUUCCAGUGAAGCAGACAUUGGCCAACUUAUUAGAAUCUGAGUUAUGGAAAAAUGCAAUAUCACAGUCUUGUGACUCAGAUACAGAUGUGCUUUGUGAUAUAAAAGAUGGAAAAAUCUGCAAGUCAAACAAGUUCUUCAAAGAAAAUCCAGGGUGUCUUAAGCUGAUUCUGUACCAGGAUGCAUUUGAAAUCGUAAAUCCUCUUGGCUCAGCAAAGAAAAAACACAAACUUGUUGCAGUCUACUUUUCUGUUGCUAACUUACCUGUUCAUGUAAGGUCCAACACUGAUCACAUGUCCCUUAUCUUACUAUGUGGUGAGAAUGAUUUAAAACACUUUGGACCUGGUAAGAUCUUUUCAGAGUUGUUACAGGAUUUAAAAGAUUUAGAAGGAAAUGGGAUCACUGUUGGUGGUGAAACAGUCAAAGGGGCUUUGUAUUGUGUUGCUGGUGACAAUUUGGGAUCACACAGUAUUGGAGGGUUUACAGAAAACUUCAGUCGAUCUCAGUACUUUUGCAGAUACUGUGAAAUUACUCGACGUGAGUUUCAUGAUGACCCAUAUGUUUGUGGUCCACAGCGCAACCCAGACAAUUACGAGGCAGCUCUUGGACACCUACAAGCAGAAGGUAUCAGAGACGUCAAAGGAAUUAAGGCCAGGAUACUACCCAGGAUAGCAACAGUUCAUUCAGCAUCCAGGAAGGUGCUUCAUCUCUUCCCUCAGUCUCACCAGGACCUUCUUCAUCCUCUCGGUCUCUCUCACCAAUAUAAACCUCUUCCAGUGCCUCUCACAGCCCAGAUGUUGACUGGGCAGAUACUUUUGACAUUCCAUGGAAGAAGUUUCCAGAAGAAUUGAUCCAGUCGUUAGAGAGAGGGAAGCGUCCAAGUCCACAGAAGAGGAGGGAGAUGGUGAGGAUUGUGGUACGGGAAAUGAUGCAGAAGUCACCAGACAUAAGUAAAAGGCACAGCACUAUUGUGGCCAAAAAAAUAGUGGCUACAUAUCCCAAAUCACUGCAGGAUGUAAUUGAAGGGGACAUAAUUGGGUCAGGGUACCAUUCCCUCGUAAAACAGCUCCACAACACCAAAAAGAAGAAAAAGAAAACUGCACGCAGAGUCUGACAUGGAUGAAAUGCCUGCUGAAAAAAGAGCUCCAAUCCAGGAGACCUAUGGUUGCAUCAAAUGGGAAAUGAAGUUCAUGCCCCUUGGGGAGACUGCAGAGAGCCAACAGCAGAGCAGAGACGAACUGAAAAGCCUGUCUAAACAAAAUGCCCCAAACCAGGAUGUGGUUAAACAGCUCACCAGGUCGACAUUCUACACCCAACGCAAAGAGGUCAACAACGGGAAAGAAAUCAAAUACUUAUUGGAAGACUGGCCAUUUUUGUUUGAUGAGAUGGCUGUUCACUUUGAAGAGCUCACUGGAGUUAGUCUGAAAGAGACAUUUGUUAGGAAUUUGGACCUAAAGGGGGAACGACUCUUAAAUUACUUGGAAACAGUUGCUGUGAACAAGUCAAAGAGGCUAGUCCAAUCUUUUACAAACAUUCAGCUGAUGAGGAGAGAGCACACAGGGCCCUCAGGCGAUGUGUUGGAGAUGGUGUUGCUCCUGUUGUCUUACUUCGACGAGAAGGAAGACGUGAUGUUCACAUACGUGGAAGACACAUGCCUGGCGGAGGAGGUGCAGAUGGACCAAGUUCCCUUGACACCAACCAUUGUUGUCUUUGGACAAUCGUGCUUCUCGGCAAAGAGAUGGAUGCUGAGUGUGGACCGAAUGAUUGUACAGCCCAGUAUCACAUCAUUCAUACCGGCCCUGUGUCUGAUGUUUGGCAGCUUCUAUGUCUUCAAUAUCCACUAUCCAGUAGUCCUCGCAUCCACGCUGGAGUUCUUACAGAGAUGUUUCUUUUCCAUCAAUCCGGAGAGGGGGACCAAGGUGGAGAAGACCAGCAAAUCCCGCCUCCAUAUGAACCCGAGAGUUAUUACACUUAUACAAGACCUGUCUGACCAUGAAUGGUGCUCACAGUAAGACUGUUCGAUGAUCCACCCUCUCUCACUCAUCUGCCCACAAACAUACAUACAUACAGACACAAACAUGCACAAAAACAUGCAUUGCACACACACACACACACAUAUACAUAUAUACACACACAUGUUCAAGCAUGCAUACACAUACACACUCUGUAGAAUAUGUACUCUCUCUCUCUCACAUAUACACAGACACACACAUAUAUAUUAAUGACCUAUAGUAUGGUUCAUCUUUGAUGAUCCUCUCAAACACAUACUCCCCUACAUGCAGUCAUAUGCACACACACACACAGAGGGAGAGAGAGACUCACUCUUACACAGGCAUAUGUACUCUCUCACACACACACACACACACGAUUCUGAUGCUCUUGUGAACCAAUGUUCUUAAGAUAAUGUUACGUUUGAUGGUUCUGAGGCAGUCUUGUGAUUACCAAAAGUUGGGCUUUGAUUCUUCAUUGUUUAUGACAAUGUCACACACACGAGACGUGUUUAUAUACACACACUUAGACAAACUCACUUUCUCUCUCAAACACAGACAUAUACUCUCACACACGAAACAUGUUUUAUUCUGAUGCUGUGUGAACAUGUUUUAUUCUAAUGCUGUGAACCAAUGUUCUUGAGAACACGUUUGACGGUUCUGUGGCAGCCUUGUGGUUAACAAAAGUUGGGCUUUGUUUUUACAAUAAAGUCUGUGUGGUUAACAGAAUA